GAUGAACGCUAGCGGCAGGCUUAACACAUGCAAGUCGAGGGGUAUUGUAUGAUUUAUCAUACAAGAGACCGGCGCACGGGUGCGUAACGCGUAUGAAAUCUGCCUUUUACAGGGGUAUAGCCCGGAGAAAUCCGGAUUAAUCCCCCAUAGCAUAUUGAUUCGGCCUCGGAUUGAUAUUAAAGCUUCGGCGGUAAAAGAUGAUCAUGCGUCUUAUUAGCUUGUUGGUAUGGUAACGGCAUACCAAGGCAACGAUAAGUAGGGGUCCUGAGAGGGAGCUCCCCCACACUGGUACUGAGACACGGACCAGACUCCUACGGGAGGCAGCAGUGAGGAAUAUUGGACAAUGGGCGAGAGCCUGAUCCAGCCAUGCCGCGUGCAGGAUGACUGCCUUAUGGGUUGUAAACUGCUUUUCUGGAGGAAGAAUAAUAUCGAUGUAUUCGAUAGAUGACGGUACUUCAGGAAUAAGCAUCGGCUAACUCCG
rnacentral:rRNA from 1 species